GUUGCUUGUCAGUAUUUGUGUGUAGUUUUUCAUUGAUCUAUUGCGUUUCUUUAUUCUACUGUGGAUGCCUGCAAGAAAAAUGAAUCUCAAGGAAUGGUGAGCGUCUGGAAUGUGCUGCCAGCGGUGAUGGAGGAGUCCGGUAUGACAGAGGCUUUUAGAUCGACACACGAAUGGACAGAAAAUGGAGGGACGCUGGUAUUGUAUUUGCAGAAGGGAUUGAUUUAGAUUCUACACAUUACUAUCUUCUGAUUCAAUUACAACAUGUCAGUAAGACAAAAGAACAGAUAGUGGACUUCAGGAAGGAUAAGACAAGGGCAUACACACCAUUCCCCAUCGAGGGAUCGGAGAUCAGAAUGAGAGAGUUUUACUUGGGUUUUCUUUAGCGCUGGAAGUGAUUACGUACCGACACUCAGGACAGAAGCAAGGUCACAUUGGGUAUUCCAUGGACCAGCAAAUUCCGGCCGGUUUAGCGAACAGAGCGGCAGACACCCCUGCUGAAAUCCGGAGGAAAACACACAGAGGGAGAUCACAAAGCCGAGGAAAGAGGACCGGGUCGAGACAACAGAGACAUUUGGAGAAGAGUUGUUCGGUGGGUAAUACCGUUCCGG